CACUUUCACCCACACCCCCCUUCCCUUAUGUUUGUAUCAUGGGCUCAGAACGAACGCUGGCCGGCACUGCCUAUUCCUGACAAGCUCGAAGACGGACCGNAAGGGAGCUUGCUCCUUUACGUUAGACGGCGGNACGGGUGAGUAACACGUGGGCAACCUGCCCUGCAGCACUGGGNAUAACUUCGGGAAACCGGAGCUAAUACNGGAUAACACCGAAAACCGCAUGGAUUUUCGGUUGAAAGGCGGCUUUUAGCUGUCACUGCAAGAUGGGCCCGCGGCGCAUUAGCUAGUUGGUGAGGUAACGGCUCACCAAGGCGACGAUGCGUAGCCGACCUGAGAGGGUGACCGGCCACACUGGGGACUGANACACGGCCCAGACUCCUACGGGAGGCAGCAGUAGGGAAUCUUCCGCAAUGGACGAAAGUCUGACGGAGCAACGCCGCGUGAGCGAANAAGGUCUUCGGAUCGUAAAGCUCUGUUGUCAGGGAAGAACAUGUACCGUUCGAACAGGGCGGUACCUUGACGGUACCUGAUGAGGAAGCCNCGGGCUAACUACGUGGCCAGCCAGCCGCGGUAAUACGUACGUGGCAAGCGUUGUCCAGGAAAUUAUUGGGCGUAANCCGCGCGCAAGCGNUUCCUAAAGUCGGAAGUGAAAACUUCGCGGCUNGACCGCGAAGCGGCCAUUUGUAAACUGGGGCAACUUUGACCUGCAGNAAAAGGGGACCGGAAUUCCUCCUNGAACCCGGAGAAAUGUCUUACAACAUGUGGNAUGAACCCCAUAUGGUCAACGCAGGCUCUCUGGCCUGUAACUGACGCUGACGCGCNAAAGCGUGGGGAACAAAAAGAAUAAAUACCCUGGUACGUCACGCCUUAAACAUNAAUGGCUUAUNGGUUCGAAGGCUCCCCCUNUACUGCUGCACCAAA
rnacentral:rRNA from 1 species